UCGAACGAGAAAGCUCUCUUCGGAGAGUGAGUACAGUGGCGAACGGGUGAGUAUUCGUAGAUGACCUGCCCUGAAGAGGGGGACAACCGUGGGAAACGACGGCUAAUACCCCAGAUGUUUGAGAGGUUAGAGGUCUCAAACUAAAACUUCGGUGCUUCGGGAGGGGUCUAUGUGCUAUCAGCUAGUUGGUGGGGUAAAGGCCUACCAAGGCAAAGACGGCUAGGGGGCGUGAGAGCGCGACCCCCCACAAUGGGACUGAGACACGGCCCAUACUCCUACGGGAGGCAGCAGUGAGGAAUAUUGCACAAUGGGGGAAACCCUGAUGCAGCAACGCCGCGUGGACGAUGAAGGCUUUCGGGUCGUAAAGUCCUUUUCUGGGGGAAGAUAAUGACGGUACCUCAGGAAUAAGUCCCGGCUAACUACGUGCCAGCAGCCGCGGUAAAACGUAGGGGGCGAGCGUUAUCCGGAUUCAUUGGGCGUAAAGCGCGCGUAGGCGGCUUGAUAAGUUGUGCGUGAAAGCUCCCGGCUCAACUGGGAGAGGCCGUGCAAAACUGUCAGGCUAGAGGAUAGAAGAGGAGAGUAGAAUUCCCGGUGUAGUGGUGGAAUGCGUAGAUAUCGGGAGGAAUACCAGUGGCGAAGGCGGCUCUCUGGUCUAUACCUGACGCUGAGGUGCGAAAGCGUGGGGAGCGAACGGGAUUAGAUACCCCGGUAGUCCACGCUGUAAACGAUGGAUACUAUGUGUAGGGAUGAAAAAUUUUCUGUGCCGAAGCCAACGCGAUAAGUAUCCCGCCUGGGGAGUACGGCCGCAAGGUUAAACUCAAAGGAAUUGACGGGGGCCGCACAGCAGCGGAGCGUGUGGUUU
rnacentral:rRNA from 1 species